UGGUUCUGGCAUCGAUGAAGAACGCAGCGAAAUGCGAUAAGUAAUGUGAAUUGCAGAAUUCAGUGAAUCAUCGAAUCUUUGAACGCACAUUGCGCCCGCCAGUAUUCUGGCGGGCAUGCCUGUUCGAGCGUCAUUUCAACCCUCAAGCCCAGCUUGGUGUUGGGGAUCGGCACAAGGCGCCCCCGGGCGCCCGCCGUCCCCUAAAUCUAGUGGCGGUCCCGCUGCAGCCACCUCUGCGUAGUAGUUUUCUCCUCGCAAGGGCAGCUCGGCGGCGACCUCGCCGUAAAACCCCCAACUUCUGAAAGUUUGACCUCGAAUCAGGUAGGAAUACCCGCUGA
rnacentral:misc_RNA from 1 species